GGAGGCGUGGCAGAGCGGUUGAAUGCAACGGUCUUGAAAACCGUCGAAGGCUUAUACCCUUCCGUGAGUUCGAAUCUCACCGCCUCCGCCA
rnacentral:tRNA from 1 species